rnacentral:rRNA from 1 species
AGAGUUUGAUCCUGGCUCAGAGCGAACGCUGGCGGCAGUAACACAUGCAAGUCGAGCGGGCAUUUUCGAAUGUCAGCGGCAGACGGGUGAGUAACACGUGGGAACGUACCCUUCGGUUCGGAAUAACGCUGGGAAACUAGCGCUAAUACCGGAUACGCCCUUUUGGGGAAAGGUUUACUGCCGAAGGAUCGGCCCGCGUCUGAUUAGCUAGUUGGUGGGGUAACGGCCUACCAAGGCGACGAUCAGUAGCUGGUCUGAGAGGAUGAUCAGCCACACUGGGACUGAGACACGGCCCAGACUCCUACGGGAGGCAGCAGUGGGGAAUAUUGGACAAUGGGCGCAAGCCUGAUCCAGCCAUGCCGCGUGAGUGAUGAAGGCCUUAGGGUUGUAAAGCUCUUUUGUCCGGGACGAUAAUGACGGUACCGGAAGAAUAAGCCCCGGCUAACUUCGUGCCAGCAGCCGCGGUAAUACGAAGGGGGCUAGCGUUGCUCGGAAUCACUGGGCGUAAAGGGCGCGUAGGCGGCCAUUCAAGUCGGGGGUGAAAGCCUGUGGCUCAACCACAGAAUUGCCUUCGAUACUGUUUGGCUUGAGUAUGGUAGAGGUUGGUGGAACUGCGAGUGUAGAGGUGAAAUUCGUAGAUAUUCGCAAGAACACCGGUGGCGAAGGCGGCCAACUGGACCAUUACUGACGCUGAGGCGCGAAAGCGUGGGGAGCAAACAGGAUUAGAUACCCUAGUAGUCC